rnacentral:rRNA from 1 species
UACGGGGGGGGCAAGCGUUGUUCGGAAUUACUGGGCGUAAAGGGCUCGUAGGUGGCCAACUAAGUCGGACGUGAAAUCCCUCGGCUUAACCGGGGACUGCGUCUGAUACUGGAUGGCUUGAGUUCGGGGAGAGGGAUGCGGAAUUCCAGGUGUAGCGGUGAAAUGCGUAGAUAUCAGGAGGAACACCGGUGGCGAAGGCGGGGUCUCUGGGCCGAUACUGACGCUGAGGAGCGAAAGCGUGGGGAGCGAACAGG